UUCAUUUUGUAGACUCGUCUGAAUAGCUUUGUUCGCCGUUAUUGUAGCGCCAACGUGGCUUUGACGUUGCGGAGAUUCGUCCAGUUCGCCAAACAUAUUUGAAAACGGGGUCAUGUGAGGUAUCAGUAAGGAGUGGAUUCGUGGUAUCGACGGUACCAACGCGGAACGUCAAACGCACACAAUGGACAGCACCUUCACGACGAAAUGUGUGUAAUGCAUUACCGUCAAGCAGCCGACAUUCGCAGGUUCUUUGCAUUUGGCGUCCCGUGUGCAGUGCCAUUUGCUCAUGUCCGUACAAGGUGGACUGCAUUCCUUCUGGCAGUGCACCGACGUGAUCAAGGACAGGAGAAACGUGAAAAGACACCUUUGCAUUCACCUAAGCAAUCAUUUCUUCCAGUACUGCAUGGGCUCAACCAAAUUUACUCGGAGCAACAGUCUCAGUGUGUUCAUAUUCGCACAAAAUUGCUCCACUUUUCUGUGUUCACUGAACCUAUGUGACCCAAGACAGCAGAAAUAUAUUUACCCACUUGUGAUCAGCCAGAACCGUGAUGUCAAAAUUACCUCAUUGAACUCAAAAAAAAAUUUUUCCAGUUUCAUGGUA